CAGGUGAGAUGUUCUGUUCGGCGGUGGUGGCAGGAGGGUCUUGGCUGUCUGGGAGCUGGCCACUAAGCCUCAAUUUUGCAUCCAGGCGUUCCUCCUUUUCGGGAGGAAUACUUCUCCUUUGCCUAUCUGAAAUGUCAUCUUCUGCGUUGCAUGCCGUUUCUUGAGACUGCCUUGAAUUUCUGGAGCUCGGGAGGUUUGUGCUCCCUUUCCGCCUGUGUCACCCGCAGCUCUGACCUGUGGCUGAUGUCCCUGCUCGCAGUGACAGCUCUGCUCGGUGCACCCAGUUGCUGCCUCUGCACGUGACCUCCCCGUCUGGCAAGAAGCCAUCGAGCAGCCACUUUUGAACUCCAGCAGCUGAAGAAACUGCACGCGCAGCAGAAGGGAGCCCAGCCGCCGUGUCCAAGCGCUUUCCCUCUGCCGGACAAGGGCUGUCCUGGGCAUGGAGUCGCCUCAUGGACGAGAUUCCCAUGGCUUGGGAUGUCUGCACGGGAGCCAAGGGCUGAGCACUUUCGCUGAGGCAGAACUCAACAACAGAAAAUAUGCCCUUAAGCAAAAUCACGCUCUCAUUUCAUACACACCAACCUACUGCUGAAGUCCUCUCCUACACGAAUCUGAAGCAAGGCAGAUUGGACAGCCUGACUCACCCUUUGCGGUGUUUCGAUAGCACAAAGCGAUCCCCAAAGCACACUUCUGAUUUACUCCGGGACCCUCCAGAUCCCAGCUGGAACCUCGUGCCUUUCUGCCACGCCCUCCGCACGAACGGCUGCGGCUCCCCGGAGCAAGUCGUUUUUGCAAAGCAGGGCUUAAAAGUGUCAGCCAAAGACUCAAGGUAAAUCUUGAUCUGGGCUGGAGGCUGCAGCCUGGAUUGUGAAUUGAAACCGCCUCCGAAUUCUUGAGGAUGAAACACGUCCAACCACCUCUGUUUUUGUCCUGUUGUGUCCCCCCGACUCGAGCAAAUACCCAUGUGCUACUCGCAAUUCGGGCUGAGAGCAGGGCGGAUCGCACAGCGCAGCACGUAGAUUUUUUUCUUUUAGUAUAAAUUACUGCCAGAAGGAGCAGAUUUGCAACAAUUCCCUCACUGUCAGAUGCAAUUUUAAAAUAGAAGAUACUUGUUGAGUAAUUGGGUAAAAGAAGAAAAGCACGCCUAGUAAGACGUUUAAGACGAGUCAGAGAGCCGUUUGUCGCCUGGGCUAUAAACCGGCGCUUGCUCCGGUAACGGUAAUUUCGUGCAGCUGCUGUUUAACCCCUCCGUGUGCGGGGACGGAGGAGUGGAGCCCGCGGAGCUCCCUCGCCUCGGCACGGCUCGGCGUGCCGCCAACCUCCUCCCGGAGAGCCGACCCCGAAGGGGAGCUCGGGGAAGGCAGCGCUGCCGUAGGGAAGAGCGCAGGCUCCCAAAGGCUUGUCCUAAAUUGCAAAGAGAGAGCUUAAAAGCAGCCUUACCUUGCCGGGCAGGACUCCAGCUCCGGGCGAGCGUGCAGCGCGAGGAGGAAGUGCGACGUCUCGCCCGGCACCGCAGCAGCCUUGUUUACAUGUGCGGAGCAACCUGCGUGACAUCACCCGCUGCUGAAAGUGGUGGCAUGGCCACCGCCGCGCUGGUGCCACCCGUCUGCACGGUGCCGAGCCCCGGCCGGGCUCCCGUCCUGGGAUGCUCCUCUCCGAGCCGCCCCGCAACGCUCCCGGGGCUCCUUCCCGCUCCGGCGCGGGAGCCGAGCUUUGCCUCCCCGCCGAGGCCCUUCGUGGCCAUGUCCGAGCCCUCGCUCCCGUCGACCUCCCACCAGCUCCCGUUUCCAGGGCGGUCAAACAUCCCAGGGGCUUUUUAUAGCGCUCGUUUGAGCCUGGCUCGUUAUUUCGCUUGCACUUUGUAAACAGGCACCUCGGAUUACGCGCGCCGCAGCUCGCUGCCAGCAAUGCCAAGCAGCGGCAGCUCCUCAGGCAUCCCCGGCAGCGGGGUGAAAUCCAGCCUCACCCUUAUUCCAGGGGGUUAAUGCUCUAAGGAGGCUGGGGCUUCACCCGCUGUCGUUUCUGUGUUAAGACUUUUCAAAGGUUGAAUGUUUGGGUUUGCAGGAAGCCGUAGGGAAUCCGACCUGCCUUUUCCAGGUCGGACUCGGGCUCGCAGCACACGGCCGCCGCUGCAGCUCAACUCUCUGCUACGCUGCGGUUUAAAGGACGGAGUGAAACGUCACUGCACCUGCUCUCCGACCCAGGGACAACGUAGAUGUUGAUGCCUGACUCCUCAGAAACCGGCGUUCGGGGCACUGCCUUGGCUUGCCCAGGCAUGGAGGGGAGGAGGACAGAGCUGCAGGUCUCUUCCUUCCUCCACCUCUUCCUCCUCCUCCUCCUCCUCGCCGUGCGGCCCUGGCCCGGCUGUGCAGGGGACGGGGCCAGCCCUGCAGAGGAAGCUUCGUGGUUUGCUGGCCGUAUCUCACAAGCAUGCUGUGAUCGCCGCCUCCUCCGCUCUGGGGUCCAGGCUAGGUCAUAACUUCUCCAGGAUGACUUUCCAAAUUCAUUAUUGCUACUGUAUGCUGAAACGAAUGGCUCUGAUUCAGAUAAGGAUGACCCCAAAUUAACACUCCUUAAAAUGCAAGGCUGCGGUCCAUAGACAGCUGUUUCCAUGAUUUGUCAAAGGAGGUUGGUAAAAGCUGGAUUUUAUGUUAUCAGCUGUUUACUUCAGAAUUAUUUGUACGGGCUUCAUGAAAAGCAAUAGCGAGCUUUUGGCCAAUACUGUGUUUAUCAAUACAUCCCGCUUAGCUGAUUUUUUAAGUUGUUCAUCAGCAAUGGGAAUGUAUUUGCUGGACUCUAUCCAACAGCAAAGCUAUCUUUUUAAUUAAAUCACCUCACUAUACUCUGUAGCCCAGCGAGCUCAGGAGAAGCCAGUUUUGGACCAGCUUUUCCAAAAUACUUCACUGACUGACCUGACUUAUGUUUGUGGAAAACAGACGCUAUCGGCUCUUCUGCAGGUGCUCUCAUCUGCGCGAGCUUCUCGCUGUAAUUCUUUCAUCCCUCACUCGCUUGUCACUAAUAGAAUUGACUGAUUUGAGCAAAAGCUGCAUUCUUUAUAGAAAAGAGAUUAAAUUAACCAUAGCUGCAACUGUGCACUGUGGUACCUGAAACGCAUUGCACAGUUGCAAGAUAAGCUAUAACACCAAAAACCGGCUGCUUGUGAAAACACACUGGAGGCUUUUGAACAGAUCUACCUACAAAAGAGACGCGGCUCCCAUUGCUGCUAUGUGCUUAUCCGUAUAAACUGUCCCGGCUGCCUAGUUCAGUGCAGGUUGCUACAAAAAGUGUAUAGGUGUGAAACAGAGGUUUAAAGGCCGAGUCAUAGCACCUGCGGAGUAAUUCUGCUGAAUUUCUCUGCGCUUGAGUUCCCCCAGUUGCAGAGUGGGGAUAAUAUUUUCCUGUCCUGAACACAAGGAUGUUGCCUGGACUUCUGUGAUACUUAACUGAAAGAUCGCAUACAUCCAAAGAACUUCCUAGCGAAGGGUCCGGCAGCGUGCUGUCACUCCAAAGCACGGCUUGUGCUAGAAGAGGGGUCUUUCGUAGCCAGCCUGGAGGGUUUGAAGCUUGCUGGCAUUGCCUAUCGGUUCCCUAAGUUAUCCCGGAGGUGAGGAGCAGGCCGUGGCCUUUUCUGCUGACAAAACUGAAUUUCCUCUAGAGACUUUGCAGACAGUUAUAUUGGUUACUGAUGGACUUUCCCCCAUAUCUGUUUGUCCUUGCUGUGUAGGUAAAUCUUUGAUUUGCAUGGCAUGCCUAAAAUUGUUCCUGCUCUUGGUUUUUGCUUACCCGAACGCUGGGCUUACCAGAAAUACCAGAAUGACCUGUGGAUUUCGGAGCAGCUGCCUGGCCUCAGCUCCAACGUGCCACUGGUGGCUCGUCACCCGUGGCCCUUGGUCCUCAGCAGCUCGCAGGAGGUUCUCCAGGUUACUGCAAAUGCCGGAGCCCACCUUCCCGGCUGGAAUACGUGGGUUUAACCGCGGAGCAGAGACCAGUCGUGAGCGGGCUGCAGCCCGUGGGUGCCUGCAGUGCCCCUUACGUAAUGCUCCACUAAGAAUAAUUGAGCAACACACGUUCUCAUCGCUUUAAUGCGAAAAAUAGCUCUAAAUUUGCCUGCUUGUCUGUCAGCAAGCAUCUUUCAACAUGCAAGAGUGACCACAUGUAGAAACAUGUUGCUGCGCCUUUUCUCUGCUUGUGCUUCCUUUCUGAGUUCUUGUCCGAAAUCUAGAAUAAAGUUGCUGCUAUUCAUCUUACCAGAUGAUAACAGCAUUAACACAUUUUA